GGCGGCAGGCUUAACACAUGCAAGUCGAACGGUAACAGGAAAUAGCUUGCUAGUUUUGCUGACGAGUGGCGGACGGGUGAGUAAUGCUUGGGAAUUUGCCUUGUUGUGGGGGACAACAGUUGGAAACGACUGCUAAUACCGCAUAAUCUCUUAGGAGCAAAGGUGGCCUCUAUUUAUAUGCUAUCGCAACAAGAUGAGCCCAAGUGGGAUUAGCUGGUUGGUAAGGUAACGGCUUACCAAGGCGACGAUCCCUAGCUGGUCUUAGAGGAUGACCAGCCACACUGGAACUGAGACACGGUCCAGACUCCUACGGGAGGCAGCAGUGGGGAAUAUUGCACAAUGGGCGCAAGCCUGAUGCAGCCAUGCCGCGUGUGUGAAGAAGGCUUUCGGGUUGUAAAGCACUUUCAGCGAGGAGGAAAGGGUGUUGCUUAAUACGUAACAUCUGUGACGUUACUCGCAGAAGAAGCACCGGCUAACUCCGUG
rnacentral:rRNA from 1 species